CAAAUGUGGCACCACAAAGUGCAAAGACCAGGACAACCUCCCCAAAGUUGAUGAAAGGAUGAGGAGGAAACUUAUCAGGGAAGCUACCAAAAGGACAACAACAACCCUGAAGAAACUACAGGACAGAAAAGAUCGAGAUUGUCCCGAUCGUCCUACUCGUCCCAAUCGAGAGCUUCAGUUCAAGUUUUCACAUCAAACAGAAUUUAAAAAAGUGAUCCUUAAAGUAAACUUUUCCAAUUGCAUGGUUUUUAGUACAGAAUUGACAGUAACUCAAAUGAUCACUUUUUCUACCCACCUUGAGCAGUAAAUCAUCCCAGAAUGCACAAAAUGGCAAACUUUAAGGCAUCUCACAAUACAUACGAUUAUUCCAUUUUGUUAAGCUGGUUGAAUAAAUGAACAAAUGAGCAGGUGAAUAUAAAUGAUAAAAAGAAUAUAAAACAAAUCAGGUGUUCCGUGAAAAAAUAUUAUGUUUUCCGAAAUAAAUGCCUAAUGGAU